GUUGCGCGUCUUCCGCCGACACCCUUAAUAGCACUUCUAAUUGGAAUGCGGCAGUAACCGAUUGGUACAGUGAAGUUAAAGACAUUGACGCAACUUAUGCCGCGAGCUUUCCUGCAAGCCCAGGAGCCCACCAAAAGGUAUUGAACACUACACACAAGUAGUAUGGGCGGACACUUAUCUUGUGGGUUGAGCAGUGGCUUACUUCCAAUCUACGGCCACCUUUAGACCAGAAUUUCCCUAUAAUAGGUUCUACGUUUAUAAUUAUGGACAUACUGGCAAUUGGCUCGGUUCUCCUGUUUAUUCCCAAGGGAGAGCUGCUUUCCGUCAGUUUCUGUCUUUGUUAUACGCCGUGACUAAGGGCAUGUGGCAAGCACAAGUGCAGGAUUUUCCUGCUUAUUUUCAAAACAUAUUUUCAGACUAAAUCCUUCAGAAUAACGACACGUAUGUGUGUGCCAACUAUAACAUGUGGCAACUAGAACUAUCCGUUGAAUACGAAAAGGUUGGAUUCGAUGUCAAAACUAGAUAUCUGAACCCCUUUCUCGUGGAUCCAUAUGCUUUCAAAUGACACCGCCUUAAUUCGGUUUGUCAAAAUCAGCUACCGUUAAUUUGAAUACCUUAUAUGCUUGCGUGUUUCUAUUGACAGCUGUUUAUUUUUAUUUUUAUUUUUUUUUA